AGCAGCCGCCGCGGGAAUACGGAGGGGGCUAGCGUUGUUCGGAAUUACUGGGCGUAAAGCGCACGUAGGCUGCUUUGUAAGUCAGAGGUGAAAGCCCGGGGCUCAACCCCGGAUGUGCCUUUGAGACUGCAGGGCUAGAACGUCGGAGAGGUGAGUGGAAUUCCGAGUGUAGAGGUGAAAUUCGUAGAUAUUCGGAAGAACACCAGUGGCGAAGGCGGCUCACUGGACGACUGUUGACGCUGAGGUGCGAAAGCGUGGGGAGCAAACGGGAUUAGAUACCCGAGUAGUCCCUGUCUCUUAUAC
rnacentral:rRNA from 1 species